rnacentral:rRNA from 1 species
CCUACGGGAGGCAGCAGUGGGGAAUAUUGGACAAUGGGGGCAACCCUGAUCCAGCCAUGCCGCGUGUGUGAAGAAGGCCCUCGGGUUGUAAAGCACUUUCAGGGAGGAAGAACGCCUGGUGGUUAAUACCCAUCAGGAAAGACAUCACUCACAGAAGAAGCACCGGCUAACUCCGUGCCAGCAGCCGCGGUAAUACGGAGGGUGCGAGCGUUAAUCGGAAUUACUGGGCGUAAAGCGCGCGUAGGUGGCUUGAUAAGCCGGUUGUGAAAGCCCCGGGCUCAACCUGGGAACGGCAUCCGGAACUGUCAAGCUAGAGUGUAGGAGAGGAAGGUAGAACUCCCGGUGUAGCGGUGAAAUGCGUAGAGAUCGGGAGGAAUACCAGUGGCGAAGGCGGCCUUCUGGACUGACACUGACACUGAGGUGCGAAAGCGUGGGUAGCAAACAGGAUUAGAUACCCUUGUAGUC